rnacentral:tRNA from 1 species
AGGCCUGUGGUGUAAUGGUAGCACAAUGCUCUCCAAAAGCAUUAGUUAAGGUUCAAGUCCUUACAGGCCUG